GACGAACGCUGGCGGCGUGCUUAACACAUGCAAGUCGAACGGAAAGGCCCUGCUUUUGUGGGGUGCUCGAGUGGCGAACGGGUGAGUAACACGUGAGUAACCUGCCCUUGACUUUGGGAUAACUUCAGGAAACUGGGGCUAAUACCGGAUAGGAGCUCCUGCUGCAUGGUGGGGGUUGGAAAGUUUCGGCGGUUUGGGAUGGACUGGCGGCUUAUCAGCUUGUUGGUGGGGUAGUGGCUUACCAAGGCUUUGACGGGUAGCCGGCCUGAGAGGGUGACCGGCCACAUUGGGACUGAGAUACGGCCCAGACUCCUACGGGAGGCAGCAGUGGGGAAUAUUGCACAAUGGGCGGAAGCCUGAUGCAGCAACGCCGCGUGCGGGAUGACGGCCUUCGGGUUGUAAACCGCUUUCGCCUGUGACGAAGCGUGAGUGACGGUAAUGGGUAAAGAAGCACCGGCUAACUACGUG
rnacentral:rRNA from 1 species